GCAUCAAUGGGGUAGUGGUAACCUGGGUCGUUGCCAUUCGAGACUCAAUUUCGUUUGCCGUCUCGACCCGCCGGGGGUUCGAUUCCCUCUUGAUGCA